rnacentral:rRNA from 1 species
GUGAGGAAUAUUGGUCAAUGGGCGGGAGCCUGAACCAGCCAAGUCGCGUGAAGGAAGAAGGAUCUAUGGUUCGUAAACUUCUUUUGCAGGGGAAUAAAGUGCAGGACGUGUCCUGUUUUGUAUGUACCCUGAGAAUAAGGAUCGGCUAACUCCGUGCCAGCAGCCGCGGUAAUACGGAGGAUCCGAGCGUUAUCCGGAUUUAUUGGGUUUAAAGGGUGCGUAGGUGGUUUGAUAAGUCAGCGGUGAAAGUUUGCAGCUUAACUGUAAAAAUGCCGUUGAAACUGUCGGACUUGAGUGUAAAUGAGGUAGGCGGAAUGCGUGGUGUAGCGGUUAAAUGCAUAGAUAUCACGCAGAACUCCGAUUGCGAAGGCAGCUUACUAAGCUACAACUGACACUGAAGCACGAAAGCGUGGGGAUCAAACAGGAUUAGAAACCCUUGUAGUCC